rnacentral:rRNA from 1 species
GCAGGGGACCUUCGGGCCUUGCGCUAUCAGAUGAGCCUAGGUCGGAUUAGCUAGUUGGUGAGGUAAUGGCUCACCAAGGCGACGAUCCGUAACUGGUCUGAGAGGAUGAUCAGUCACACUGGAACUGAGACACGGUCCAGACUCCUACGGGAGGCAGCAGUGGGGAAUAUUGGACAAUGGGCGAAAGCCUGAUCCAGCCAUGCCGCGUGUGUGAAGAAGGUCUUCGGAUUGUAAAGCACUUUAAGUUGGGAGGAAGGGCCAUUACCUAAUACGUGAUGGUUUUGACGUUACCGACAGAAUAAGCACCGGCUAACUCUGUGCCAGCAGCCGCGGUAAUACAGAGGGUGCAAGCGUUAAUCGGAAUUACUGGGCGUAAAGCGCGCGUAGGUGGUUCGUUAAGUUGGAUGUGAAAUCCCCGGGCUCAACCUGGGAACUGCAUUCAAAACUGUCGAGCUAGAGUAUGGUAGAGGGUGGUGGAAUUUCCUGUGUAGCGGUGAAAUGCGUAGAUAUAGGAAGGAACACCAGUGGCGAAGGCGACCACCUGGACUGAUACUGAC